AGAGUUUGAUCCUGGCUCAGAAUGAACGUUGGCGGCGUGGAUUAGGCAUGCAAGUCGAGCGAGAAGUUUCCUGCUUGCAGGAAGCGGACAGCGGCGCAAGGGAGAGUAACGCGUAGUUACCUACCCCAGGGUCCGGAAUAGCGGCGGGAAACUGCCGGUAAUGCCGGAUAACAUCUUCGGAUCAAAGGUGUGAUUCCGCCCUGGGAGGGGACUGCGUCCUAUUAGCUUGUUGGUGGGGUAAUGGCCUACCAAGGUAAUGAUGGGUAGCCAGCCUGAGAGGGUGUAAGGCCACACUGGGACUGAGACACGGCCCAGACUCCUACGGGAGGCAGCAGUGGGGAAUUUUGCGCAAUGGGCGAAAGCCUGACGCAGCGACGCCGCGUGGAGGAGGAAGGCUUUCGAGUUGUAAACUCCUGUCAGAAGAGAAGAAAGCCCGAGUAAUCGGGCCUGACGGUAUCUUCAGAGGAAGCCCCGGCUAACUACGUGCCAGCAGCCGCGGUAAUACGUAGGGGGCAAACGUUACUCGGAAUCAUUGGGCGUAAAGGGUGUGUAGGUGGCUGAGCAAGUCAAAGGUGAAAUCCCGAGGCUCACCCUCGGAACUGCCUUUGAAACUGCUCAGCUUGAGGGUAGUUGAGGAGAACGGAAUUCCCGGUGGAGCGGUGAAAUGCGUAGAUAUCGGGAGGAGCACCUGAGGCGAAGGCGGUUCUCUGGGCUACUUCUGACACUGAAACACGAAAGCUAGGGGAGCAAACGGGAUUAGAUACCCCGGUAGUCCUAGCCGUAAACGAUGGGCACUAGAUGUUUCUACUUUUAGUGGGAGUGUCGAAGCUAACGCAUUAAGUGCCCCGCCUGGGGAGUACGGUCGCAAGGCUGAAACUCAAA
rnacentral:rRNA from 1 species